CGUAGGUGGCAAGCGUUGUCCGGAAUUAUUGGGCGUAAAGCGCGCGCAGGCGGUCCUUUAAGUCUGAUGUGAAAGCCCACGGCUCAACCGUGGAGGGUCAUUGGAAACUGGAGGACUUGAGUGCAGAAGAGGAAAGUGGAAUUCCAAGUGUAGCGGUGAAAUGCGUAGAGAUUUGGAGGAACACCAGUGGCGAAAGGCGACUUUCUGGUCUGUAACUGACGCUGAGGCGCGAAAGCGUGGGGAGGCAAACAGGAUU
rnacentral:rRNA from 1 species